UACAGAGGGGGCAAGCGUUAUUCGGAAUUACUGGGCGUAAAGCGCACGUAGGCGGCUUUCUAAGUCGGGGGUGAAAUCCUGGAGCUCAACUCCAGAACUGCCUUUGAUACUGAGGAGCUCGAGUCCGGGAGAGGUGAGUGGAACUCCGAGUGUAGAGGUGAAAUUCGUGAGAUAUUCGGAAGAACACCGAACGGCGAAGGCGAGCUCGCUAGGACGGUACUGACGCUGAGACGCGAAAGCGUGGGAGCGAACGAGG
rnacentral:rRNA from 1 species